CUUUCUGUUUUUAGGGAUAUAACUUUCAAAUACUGUUAAUCUGUUGUAGAUAGAUUUUAGACUUCUUGCUUCCUCUUUUCUUCUCCAUUUGUUAAAUAUGUUUUAAAAAAGGGAAUAAAUAAAUAAGCAAUUAGCACACAAGUAAUGUAAUAUGUAUAAAAUUCCCUACUCAUGAGCUGUUAAUCAGUGACAUUACUGUGCUACUUCCUCUAGCCAGACAGACAGGAACUUGGAAUAGACGACAAGAGCAGUGCAGAUAAAGGAACAUGCACCAGAGAGUGCAGCAGAGAAGGAGAGGGAGAGAGGAUGUAGCCUAGCUCUAGCCAGAGCAGCAUCACCCUGACUAACCGCUGAAUCUCAGUAAUGCAGCAGAAUCAAUGGCCCAACUAAAGAAAGGCACCAUGGCUGUUGGAUUGAGGCCAGUGAUUUUGCUGCUUUUGCUGCUCUGCUGUUGGCAACUUGCCUCAAGUAAAGAAGGAAAAUCCACAAAGAAAGGAAAAAAAGGAAAGCAAGUUGUCUGUCCAUC